UACGGAGGGUGCGAGCGUUGUCCGGAAUUAUUGGGCGUAAAGAGCUCGUAGGCGGUGUGUCACGUCGGCCGUGAAAACCUGGGGCUUAACUCUGGGCGUGCGGUCGAUACGGGCAUCACUAGAGUUCGGCAGGGGAGACUGGAAUUCCUGGUGUAGCGGUGAAAUGCGCAGAUAUCAGGAGGAACACCGGUGGCGAAGGCGGGUCUCUGGGCAAUUCCGUGACGCUGAGGCGCGAAAGCGUGGGGAGCAAACGGG
rnacentral:rRNA from 1 species